rnacentral:rRNA from 1 species
GUGGGGAAUAUUGCGCAAUGGGGGAAACCCUGACGCAGCGACGCCGUGUGAGGGAAGAAGGCUUUCGGGUCGUAAACCUCUGUCAGAAAGGAAGAACCUCCCAAGUCCGAAUAGGGCUUGGGACUGACGGUACUUUCAAAGGAAGCACCGGCUAACUCCGUGCCAGCAGCCGCGGUAAUACGGAGGGUGCAAGCGUUAAUCGGAAUCACUGGGCGUAAAGCGCGCGUAGGCCGCUUUGUAAGUCGGACGUGAAAGCCCUCGGCUCAACCGGGGAACUGCGUUCGAUACUGCGAGGCUUGAGUCCUGGAGAGGGUGGCGGAAUUCCGGGUGUAGGAGUGAAAUCCGUAGAUAUCCGGAGGAACACCGGUGGCGAAGGCGGCCACCUGGACAGGUACUGACGCUGAGGCGCGAAAGCGUGGGGAGCAAACAGGAUUAGAAACCCCUGUAGUCC